rfam:Dipodomys ordii contig_14544, whole genome shotgun sequence.
GGUGGCUCAGCGGUAGAGCGCUUGCCUUACACGCUUGAGGCCCUGAGUUCAAUUCCUCAGCACCA